UUUCUUCGGAGAUAGAGACCGGCGCACGGGUGCGUAACGCGUAUGCAAUCUACCUUUUACAGAGGGAUAGCCCAGAGAAAUUUGGAUUAAUACCUCAUAGUAUUAUGAAAUGGCAUCAUUUUAUAAUUAAAGUCACAACGGUAAAAGAUGAGCAUGCGUCCCAUUAGCUAGUUGGUAAGGUAACGGCUUACCAAGGCUACGAUGGGUAGGGGUCCUGAGAGGGAGAUCCCCCACACUGGUACUGAGACACGGACCAGACUCCUACGGGAGGCAGCAGUGAGGAAUAUUGGACAAUGGGCGCAAGCCUGAUCCAGCCAUGCCGCGUGCAGGAUGACGGUCCUAUGGAUUGUAAACUGCUUUUAUACGAGAAGAAACACUGCUUCGUGAAGCAGCUUGACGGUAUCGUAAGAAUAAGGAUCGGCUAACUCCGUGCCAGCAGCCGCGGUAAUACGGAGGAUCCAAGCGUUAUCCGGAAUCAUUGGGUUUAAAGGGUCCGUAGGCGGUUUGGUAAGUCAGUGGUGAAAGCCCAUCGCUCAACGGUGGAACGGCCAUUGAUACUGCCAGACUUGAAUUAUUAGGAAGUAACUAGAAUAUGUAGUGUAGCGGUGAAAUGCUUAGAGAUUACAUGGAAUACCAAUUGCGAAGGCAGGUUACUACUAAUGGAUUGACGCUGAUGGACGAAAGCGUGGGUAGCGAACAGGAUUAGAUACCCUGGUAGUCCACGCCGUAAACGAUGGAUACUAGCUGUUGGAAGCAAUUUCAGUGGCUAAGCGAAAGUGAUAAGUAAUCCACCUGGGGAGUACGUUCGCAAGAAUGAAACUCCAAGGAAUU
rnacentral:rRNA from 1 species